rnacentral:misc_RNA from 1 species
AAGUCGUAACAAGGUUUCCGUAGGUGAACCUGCGGAGGGAUCAUUACACAAUUAAAAUAUGAAGGCCCUUCAAACCGGCUGGAUUAUUUUUAUUCACCCUUGUCUUUUGCGCACUUGUUGUUUCCUGGGCGGGUUCGCUCGCCACCAGGACCACAUCAUAAACCUUUUUUGUUAAUGCAAUCAGCGUCAGUAUAACAAAUGUAAAUCAUUUACAACUUUCAACAACGGAUCUCUUGGUUCUG